rnacentral:rRNA from 1 species
GUCUACGGCUAUACCACUCUGAACGCGCCCGAUCUCGUCUGAUCUCUGAAGAAACACAGUCAUCAUUAGUUUUUCAAGUUCACCGUAUAUU